AGUGAACGCUGGCGGUAGGCCUAACACAUGCAAGUCGAACGGCAGCACAGUAAGAGCUUGCCCUUACGGGUGGCGAGUGGCGGACGGGUGAGGAAUACAUCGGAAUCUACUUUUUCGUGGGGGAUAACGUAGGGAAACUUACGCUAAUACCGCAUACGAUCUACGGGUGAAAGCAGGGGAUCUUCGGACCUUUCGCGAUUGAAUGAGCCGAUGUCGGAUUAGCUAGUUGGCGGGGUAAAGGCCCACCAAGGCAACGAUCCGUAGCUGGUCUGAGAGGAUGAUCAGCCACACUGGAACUGAGACACGGUCCAGACUCCUACGGGAGGCAGCAGUGGGGAAUAUUGGACAAUGGGCGAAAGCCUGAUCCAGCCAUACCGCGUGGGUGAUGAAGGCCUUCGGGUUGUAAAGCCCUUUUGUUGGGAAAGAAAAGCAGCAUAUGAAUACCCCGCUGUUCUGACGGUACCCAAAGAGUAAGCACCGGCUAACUUCGUG
rnacentral:rRNA from 1 species